AAACGUGGCUGCGCCCAUGAUGAUGCUGCAGGCAGCUUCCAGGCAAAGACUAAAUAAGCGCGCUGUGUUUGCUGAGGCGAUCUUGAUCGUGAAAAACGCCUUCCGAACAUUUGGAGGGACGCGUAAAAACUUCCAAGUCUGCCGAGAAACGCUGUGAGCGUGCCUCUACCGAAGCUGCACUUCACUGCCGCCGGCAGUGUUGGUCCGCUUUCAACGACUGCAGGAGACACGCAGAAGUGGACCGUCGUAUCCAGUAAAGAUUAAGAAGACGUUGAGAUGCUGGUCUCGGACCUUGCUGGGAAAUUCCUUGGGCCCUUUGGAACACUGCUAGCUCUAGCUCCUU